CACGUAGUUGGCCGGGCCUUCUUCUGCAGGUACCGUCAAUAUCGUCCCUGCUGAAAGUGGUUUACAACCCGAAGGCAUUCAUCCCACACGCGGCGUCGCUGCAUCAGACUUUCGUCCAUUGUGCAAGAUUCCCUACUGCUGCCUCCCGUAGGAGUCUGGGCCGUGUCUCAGUCCCAGUGUGGCUGGACAUCCUCUCAGACCAGCUACCCGUCGAAGCCUUGGUGGGCCGUUACCCCGCCAACAAGCUGAUAGGCCGCGAGACCAUCCCGAAGCGGAAUCCAUUUCCUCACCGGACCAUGCGAUCCGGUGAGGACAUCCGGUAUUAGCACCGGUUUCCCGGAGUUAUCCCGGUCUUCGGGGCAGGUUCCUCACGUGUUACUCACCCGUUCGCCACUUUCCACCCGGAGCAAGCUCCGGGCUUCACGUUCGACUUGCAUGUAUGAGGCGCGCCGCCAGCGUCGUCUCGAGCCACGGAGUCAACCUAC
rnacentral:rRNA from 1 species